rnacentral:misc_RNA from 1 species
GAGCUUGUUCCAAACAUGGAUAAGGUAAUGAUAGGGUGUUCUUUUUCUUGUAGAAUGUGACUAUGGAGUUGACAUUAUGUGUCAUAUUAAAUUCCUUCACUACUAUUGGUAGGGACAUAAUGCAUACGAUGCAACUGCUGAUUUUUAAUGUAUUUCUAUAUUAUAUAUAAGCAUGGUUAAGGUACUAAACAUUUCUUUUAUAUCAUAUACCGUUAAUUAAUUAUGUAAUUUUCUAAUAUUUCAUCAAACGCCGCAUAAAAAAAAUAAAAUUAGCCAAUUAAAUAAAAUUGUGAAAAGUGUAUUCAUUAUGCCUAAAGAUUUGAUAGCUCAUGAGAAAAGAAGAAGAGACAAACAGCAUACAUCUAUGCUUUUGCUAGUUCCAAACUGUAAAUCUGUAAUUGACCUUGUGUACAACUUACACUUUCAACUGACCUCUAUGCUUUCUAAUUUUGAAAUAAUAUAAUUUAAGAAAAUGUAGACAAUAAUAUGUUGAAUUUUCUUGUUCCUGCAGCAAACGAGCUAUGCAGACAUGU